CAUGUCUAGUCGAGCGGUAAGGCCCUUUCGGGGGUACACGAGCGGCGAACGGGUGAGUAACACGUGGGUGACCUGCCUCUUGCUCUGGGAUAAGCCUGGGAAACUGGGUCUAAUACCGGAUAUGACUCCAUGGCGCAUGUUGUGGGGUGGAAAGCCUUGUGCGGCUGGGGAUGGGCCCGCGGCCUAUCAGCUUGUUGGUGGGGUGAUGGCCUACCAAGGCGACGACGGGUAGCCGGCCUGAGAGGGCGAUCGGCCACACUGGGACUGAGACACGGCCCAGACUCCUACGGGAGGCAGCAGUGGGGAAUUUUGCGCAAUGGGCGGAAGCCUGACGCAGCGACGCCGCGUGAGGGAUGACGGCCUUCGGGUUGUAAACCUCUUUCAGCCCUGGCGAAGCAGUGAUGUGACGGUAGGGGCAGAAGAAGCACCGGCCAACUACGUGCCAGCAGCCGCGGUAAUACGUAGGGUGCAAGCGUUGUCCGGAAUUAUUGGGCGUAAAGAGCUCGUAGGCGGUCUGUCGCGUCGGCUGUGAAAACUCGGGGCUCAACCCUGAGCUUGCAGUCGAUACGGGCAGGCUAGAGUUCGGCAGGGGAGACUGGAAUUCCUGGUGUAGCGGUGAAAUGCGCAGAUAUCAGGAGGAACACCGGUGGCGAAGGCGGGUCUCUGGGCCGAUACUGACGCUGAGGAGCGAAAGCGUGGGGAGCGAACAGGAUUAGAUACCCUGGUAGUCCACGCCGUAAACGUUGGGCGCUAGGUGUGGGAUCCCUUCCACGGGUUCCGUGCCGCAGCUAACGCAUUAAGCGCCCCGCCUGGGGAGUACGGCCGCAAGGCUA
rnacentral:rRNA from 1 species